GAAAUUAUCGGUGUGGUUUCUCGUAAGGGAUUCCGCUAAAAAACACCGUUAAACCACUAUGUGAACUUGUAUUUGUUCUUGGUAGACGGGUCCGGGGACCCUUAAACCGCUGUGGGAAGGACGUGUGGGGUAAAUGAAACGCGUGAGCCUUGGUAAGCGCGUUUACCCCCGCGUUUAUCACGGGCUACCAAAUGUGUUGAACCUGAAUGGGAUAGUCUUGUUUGUUUUAGUCUUAUUUUUAACGUCUCCGUGAUUGGAGUGUUAAUACAAAUUGAAUA
rnacentral:misc_RNA from 1 species